AUAGCUGCAUCCCCUAAUGGGCCUUUGGGCUGGACAGCCAGCUCCGUCUUCCUCCUGGUGACAGAGACAGCGACAGAGCCGAAGCCAGAGUGACCGCUAGAAAGCAACAACUUCCGAUAAUACGUCCUGAUCCUCAAACUAAAAAGAAAACCCCAGGAAGGAAUGAAGGAUGAAGCUCUACAUAUAGUAGUUACUCAAUAAACGUUUAUCAGAGGUGAGAAGAAUUCCAUGAAGACAGACAGGAUUAACCAAGAUAAUGGUGUUUGAUUUCACAGAGUAAAUUCUCUUGGAGAAGGUAAGCCAUGUUUCCUUUGCAGCAGUGGGACUGAGCUCUGUUUUUCUUUUCAGAUAUGUAAUCUUUCUUUUUUUCUGAAUUCAGAAGCACUAAAUAGUAAUCCUAAAACUUCAAACAAUACAGAAACAUACAAAUCAGUCCUUCCCUUCUUCCCUCCACCCACAUUUAUCCAACUGUUCAUAGUUUGGUAAAUUCUCUUUCUGACUUUGUUCAUGUAUGUGUAAUGAUAUAACAAGAAUAGUAAGACCAUAAUUGUUUAUAUCCUUCUACAAUCUACUUUUUUUAGGUAACCCUGUAUCAUGAACAUCAGUGUUAAUAUACAUUUUUUUAAUGAUCUCAUGAUUUUCUACUAUUUAGAUACAUAUUUAUUUAACUGAUCUAUUGUUGAACACUUAGGUCAUUUCUGAUUUAUUGUAAAUAAUAAGCAGUAAACAUCCUUACAAAAAACUUUUUUUUAUAUAAUGUCUGAUUUUUUUCCAUAGGUCAGCUUCACAGAAUUGGAAUAUUUAGACCAAUUUUUCCUAUAGCAACUUUUUCUUCUGUGACACUUACCCCACAUUAACCACCUUUGUGUGUGUGUGUGUGUGUGUGUGUGUGAACACAUGCCAAUUUGAUAAGUUAAAAUUAUCAUGUUGGGGUGACUUCCACUUUUGGUACAACAUAAUAGGUAUACUUUUCCUAAGUUGUCCUGCUAAAUACAACUAGGAAUCUUGAACAUUAUUUCUAAAGGAAACACAAAAGAAGUGGAGAAGAAGGCAGAUCAACUAGGGACCUUGGGACCCAAGGAAAGACACAGUGGUAACUUCCUUCGGUAUUCUUUUUUGCCUCAAAUAUCCCAGACUUGAUUAAAGAAGCAGCAAACCAGAAAUACCAAGGGUACAGACCAAAAAAGAAUUUUAAAGCCCCCAAAAAGCCUGCUCUCUCUAAAGUACCAAGAAAGGUGCAGCCAAGCAAGAUGGAAAACAUUUAGAUAGUUAAAUGCUCUACACCAAGCAAAUAGCACAGAAAAUACUGUAGCCUCUACCUGACCCACACCAGCAAAAGGAGACUUGAUUCCAUCGUCACUGAGCUAUAAUAAGCACUCAGUGCCCACUCCUUGUCAGGAUGGUACCAAAAACAAUCUGAUUAGGGACCCAGGACUUUCCUCCCUGCCUGGUGAUAAGAAGGACCUUACCACAGUUUUGUUGUUAGACCUGUGUCACAUCCAUGUCAGACCACAUGGGGAGCCUGUACUUCCACUCUCAUGCAGCGAUAACAAGGCAUCUCUCCUUCACCCAGCUGCAGUGAUGUCCAAAAGGCCUAGUGGGUAGUCCAGACUUUCACCACCGCCUGUCAGUAACAAAGGAUCCCCUCAACAUGGUGUUAGCAGAGGCCACAUGGGUAGCAAUAAGGAGGCACUCCCACCCCUCCUAGCCAUAAGUCCCCCAUUUUUUUACCCUCCUUUCUGGAGCAGUAUCAGAAAAAGUAUGCUAAAAUGGAAGAUUUGAGUAGUGUUCAGUCUCACAAUACCUAAAAAUGUCCAGAUUUCAAUAAAAAAAUCACUCACAUACCAAAAACAAGGAAAAUCUCAAACUAGGUGAAAAAGACAAAAAAUAGAUGUCAAUGCCAGGAUAACAGAGAUGGUAGAAUUACCUGACAAAGAUUUUAAAACACCCAUCAUAAGUCUGCCUAGCUGGCUUAGUUGGAGGAGCAUGGGACUCUUGAUCUCGGGGUCAUGAGUUCAAGCCCAAUAGUGGGUAUAGAGAUUACUUACAUACAUACAUACAUACAUACAUACCUACAUACAUAAAUCUUAAAAAAUAAACGAAACACCUAUCAUUAAAAUUUUUCAGUGACAAUUACACACUUCAAGCAAAAAAAGCAGGGGGUGGUGCAGCUGGAUGGCUCAGUUAUUUGAGCGUCUGACUCUUGAUUUCAGCCCAGGUCAUGAUCUCACAGUUAAUGAGAUCGAGCCCUGAAUCAGGCUCUGUACUGUCAGUGCACAGAGCCUGCUCAAGAUUCUCUUCCUCCCUCUCUCUCUGCUCCUCCCCCCCUUCUGUCUCUCAAAAUAAAUAAACAAGAGUCUCAGUAAAGAAAUAGAAGCUAUAAAGAAGAACCAAAUGAAAAUGUUAGAGCUCACAAAUGCAAUAACCAAAAUUAAAGACACAGUAGAUAGACUCAACAACAGAAGGAAGGAGACAGAGGAAAGGAUCAUUUAACUGGAAAACACAAUAAUAGAAAUUAUACAAUCUAAACAAUGGAGUGAAAUAGGCCAAAAAUAAAUGAACAAUUUUAAGAACAUGUGGGACUAUAACAAAAGAUCUAACAUGUCAUUCCAAAAGGAGAGGACAGAGCUGAAAAAGUACUUGAAGAAAUGAUGGCUGAAAAUUUCCAAAAUUUGUCAAAAAGCAUAAACAGAUUCAAGAAAUUGAAUGAAUGUCAAGCACAAAGAACUCAAAGAAAUUCAAAUCAAGACAUCAUAGUCAAACUUCUGAAAACUAAAGACAAAGAAAAGGUCUUGAAAGCAAGCAAGACAUGAACCUUAGCUAUAAGGUUCAAAUAAGAGAAUAUUUCUUGCCAGAAACUGGGGGCCAAAAUAAAGAGGCAUAAUAUUUUUCAAGUGCUGAAAGUAAAGAAUUGUCAACCUAGAAUACCACAUCCAGUGAAAAUAUCCUCAGGAAUGAAGGGUAAAUCAAGACAAUUCUAACAUAAAGGAAAACUAAGAGAAUUUGUCACCAGCAGACCUACCCUAAAAAAAUGGCUCAAGUAAGUUCUCUAUAUGGAAAAGAAACAAAAAAAGAAUUAUUAUGGAGGAAAUGUCAUGAAAAAGGCAACAGUAUGGUCAAAUAAAAUGGGUUUUCCUUCUGUUGAGUUUUCUAAAUUAUACUUGGUGGCUGGAGCAAAAAGUAUAACACUCUUGUGGUUCUAAAUGUAUACAGAAGAAAAUUUUAAGGUCGUUAUAUUACAAAUGGGGGAAGGUAAAGGAACAUAAAGUAACAUAAAGUGUCUGCACAUCAAACUGUUAAAAUAAGACACUGGUGAUGUUUUACGGGUGUGUGUGUGUGUGUGUGUGAUGUUUUAUAUAGGUGUGUGUAGAAUAACCACUAAAAGAGUUAUAAAAAGAAAUGCAAAAACAUUAUACAUUAACCAAAAUGGAAUUCCAAAAUAUCUUCAAGCUACAAAAGGCAGGGAAAAGAAAACAAAGAAAUGAAAAAUAUAGAAAGCAAACAGAAAAUAAAAUAGUUGACUUAAGCCUUAACAUAUCAGUAAUUGUAUUAAAUGUAAAUUGUCUAAAUACAGUAAUUAAAAGGCAGAGAUUUGCCCCCCUCACCCCCACACAAACCCAUACUUACAAAGAAUUAUCUGGUCUGAAAUAUCAAUAGUUCCAAGAUUGAGAAAUCCUAAACUAGAAUCUAGUUAAGUCUAGACUCUAGACUUUCAACAAAUUCAUGUUUUCUAGCUGCUUUCUAAGGUACCUAGUGCUGGUUCCUGAGCCUUCCUAAAGUUCUGCAACUUCCCUACCCACCUGACCAAGCAGCUAAUAGAGGAAAGAAAGCUGAAAUCUAAGUUACAACUCACUUGCCACUUUCCACCUUUCAAAAUUUUGUUAAUAGCUUUUGUUAUUCCCUUUCCCUUUGUCUUUGAGAAUUUAUCCUUUUACUCUCAUUUUAAUGGGGUCACAGAGAAAGGGAAAUAUUUAUACAAGGCUCAUCCUCCGUGUUUUAUCAGAAGUCCCCACACUUUUUUGGGAAAAUGCAAUUAAAAUUAUCUUUUAAAAAAUCCAACUUGGGGGUGCCUGGGUGGCUCAGUCAGUUUAAUGUCCGACUUUGGCUCAGGUCAUGAUCUCACGGUUUGUGGGUUCGAGCCCCAGGUUAGGCUCUGCGCUGACAGUGUGGAGCCUGCUUGGGAUUCUCUCUCUCUCCCUCUCUCUGCCCCUACCCCACUUGCACUUUCUCUCUCUCUCUCUC